CCGAGCGCGCGGGUUGACCCAGCUGCUCCAGCGCCACCCGGGGUAACCACGGCAACCGCGGUGGUCAGGAAUGCACGCUAAUUGAAGGGCCCGUUCCUCCCACGGGGAUGAGCAACAAGUGAGGCAAAAAAUAGUGAGCUGGGCUGCGUGUGAGGAGCGAGGGGAGGCGGGGCUCAGCUCCAGCCUUGGCCCUGGUGGAUGAGGGACCCGGGGACCGUGAAGAGCGCCUGCCAGGCCUCAUUUGUUUUCUUAAACGACGCAGGACAGUGAAAAGCUGUGACAGAUGGGGAAACUGAGUUCGUAUUCGCACACCAAGGGGCUGUCUGGCCCCCAAGCUUCUGCUGUUCACGUGGGACCAUGUCCCGUAUCCAAAGAGAAAUUUACUCACCACCACUGGCGCUUAAGAGUACAGAUGGAAGGGGUAAUAGAUGCUGUACUCUUGGGUAAGCCACAGGAGGAGAUGGAAGAAAUAAUAGGAACAUGACAAGAAAACAAAGGUAAUUCUGCAGCAUUGUAUUUACGGG